UACGUAGGGGGCAAGCGUUGUCCGGAAUCAUUGGGCGUAAAGAGCGUGUAGGCGGCCCGGUAAGUCCGCUGUGAAAGUCCAGGGCUCAACCCUGGGAUGCCGGUGGAUACUGUCGGGCUCGAGUCCGGAAGAGGAGUGUGGAAUUCCGUGGUGUAGCGGUGAAAUGCGCAGAUAUCAGGAGGAACACCAAUGGCGAAGGCAGCACUCUGGGACGUGACUGACGGCUGAGACGCGAAAGCGUGGGGAGCAAACAGG
rnacentral:rRNA from 1 species